AGUGAACGCUGGCGGUAGGCCUAACACAUGCAAGUCGAGCGGCAGCACAGUAAGAGCUUGCUCUUACGGGUGGCGAGUGGCGGACGGGUGAGGAAUACAUCGGAAUCUACUUUUUCGUGGGGGAUAACGUAGGGAAACUUACGCUAAUACCGCAUACGACCUACGGGUGAAAGCAGGGGAUCUUCGGACCUUGCGCGAUUGAAUGAGCCGAUGUCGGAUUAGCUAGUUGGCGGGGUAAAGGCCCACCAAGGCGACGAUCCGUAGCUGGUCUGAGAGGAUGAUCAGCAACACUGGAACUGAGACACGGUCCAGACUCCUACGGGAGGAAGCAGUGGGGAAUAUUGGACAAUGGGCGCAAGCCUGAUCCAGCCAUACCGCGUGGGUGAAGAAGGCCUUCGGGUUGUAAAGCCCUUUUGUUGGGAAAGAAAAGCAGCAGGUUAACACCCCGCUGUUCUGACGGUACCCAAAGAAUAAGCACCGGCUAACUUCGUG
rnacentral:rRNA from 1 species